GACGUGAGGCGCGAGCGUUGUCCGGAUUUAUUGGGCGUAAAGAGCUCGUAGGCGGCUUGUCGACGUCCGAAUGUGAAAACCUGCAGCUCAACUGCAGGCUUGCAUUCGAUACGGGGCAGGCUCGAGUUCGGUGAGGGGAGACUGGAAUUCCUGGUGUAGCGGUGAAAUGCGCAGAUAUCAGGAGGAACACCAAUGGCGAAGGCAGCUCGCUGGAACGGUACUGACGCUGGAGGCGACGAAAGCGUGGGGAGCGAACAGG
rnacentral:rRNA from 1 species